UACGUAGGGUGCGAGCGUUAAUCGGAAUUACUGGGCGUAAAGCGUGCGCAGGCGGUUUUGUAAGCCAGAUGUGAAAUCCCCCGGGCUCAACCUGGGAAUGGCAUUUGGGACUGCAAGGCUGGAGUUUGGCAGAGGAGACUGGAAUUCCUGGUGUAGGCAGUGAAAUGCGUAGAUAUCAGGAGGAAUACCGAUGGCGAAGGCAGGUCUCU
rnacentral:rRNA from 1 species